GUUAGUGCUGUUUGUGUUCGGAUUCCGUGUUCAAUCCGCGAACAUCUGAUCUCUCCGUUUGCCAUCAUUGCAGCAAACUAACUGUAGCUUUUUUCUCUUUACCUGUAGAAACCUCUGAGCCAUGAGAGCCAAGUGGAGGAAGAAGCGAAUGCGCAGGCUGAAGCGUAAAAGAAGAAAGAUGAGGCAGAGGUCCAAGUAAACCGCUAGCUUGUGCACCCGUGGAGCCACAGGAGCAGAAAUAAGGAAAGCCAGAGGCCAGGGACGCUGGUACCAAUUGUUGGACUGCAUGCCCACUUUCUAGAGCUUGAUUCAGUGGAUCUAGAACAUCCAUCGCCAUCUGAUCGCAACGACCAACUUUGAGAGACUCCUCGCCUUGCUCCUACCAGAAGUCCCUUUUGGUCCUUCGCUCUGGACCUGUGACUUUCAGGACUAGUUCUGUUUUCAUUUGUGGCUGAAUGUAACAUCGUGUACAAUAAAUCUUCUGCUGUCUUAGCUGAAGAAAAAAAAUGG